AUUGGACGCUGGCGGCAGGCUUAACACAUGCAAGUCGAGCGGAGAGAGGUAGCUUGCUACUGAUCUUAGCGGCGGACGGGUGAGUAAUGCUUAGGAAUCUGCCUGUUAGUGGGGGACAACAUUUCGAAAGGAAUGCUAAUACCGCAUACGUCCUACGGGAGAAAGCAGGGGAUCUUCGGACCUUGCGCUAAUAGAUGAGCCUAAGUCGGAUUAGCUAGUUGGUGGGGUAAAGGCCUACCAAGGCGACGAUCUGUAGCGGGUCUGAGAGGAUGAUCCGCCACACUGGGACUGAGACACGGCCCAGACUCCUACGGGAGGCAGCAGUGGGGAAUAUUGGACAAUGGGCGGAAGCCUGAUCCAGCCAUGCCGCGUGUGUGAAGAAGGCCUUAUGGUUGUAAAGCACUUUAAGCGAGGAGGAGGCUACUUUAGUUAAUACCUAGAGAUAGUGGACGUUACUCGCAGAAUAAGCACCGGCUAACUCUGUGCCAGCAGCCGCCGCGGUAA
rnacentral:rRNA from 1 species